UACGUAGGGUGCGAGCGUUGUCCGGAAUUACUGGGCGUAAAGAGCUCGUAGGUGGUUUGUCGCGUUGUUCGUGAAAACUCACAGCUUAACUGUGGGCGUGCGGGCGAUACGGGCAGACUGGAGUACUGCAGGGGAGACUGGAAUUCCUGGUGUAGCGGUGGAAUGCGCAGAUAUCAGGAAGAACACCCGUGGCUAAGGCGGCUCUCUAGUACGGUACUGACGCUGAGACGCGAAAGCGUGGGGAGCAAACAGG
rnacentral:rRNA from 1 species